rnacentral:rRNA from 1 species
AUUGAACGCUGGCGGAAUGCUUUACACAUGCAAGUCGAACGGCAGCACGGGGCAACCUGGUGGCGAGUGGCGAACGGGUGAGUAAUACAUCGGAACGUGCCCAAUCGUGGGGGAUAACGUAGCGAAAGUUACGCUAAUACCGCAUACGAUCUACGGAUGAAAGCGGGGGAUCGCAAGACCUCGCGCGAGUGGAGCGGCCGAUGUCAGAUUAGGUAGUUGGUGGGGUAAAGGCUCACCAAGCCAACGAUCUGUAGCUGGUCUGAGAGGACGACCAGCCACACUGGAACUGAGACACGGUCCAGACUCCUACGGGAGGCAGCAGUGGGGAAUUUUGGACAAUGGGCGCAAGCCUGAUCCAGCCAUUCCGCGUGCAGGAUGAAAGGCCUUCGGGUUGUAAACUGCUUUGUUACGGAACGAAACGGCGAGCUCUAAUACAGUUUGCUAAUGACGGUACCGUAAGAAUAAGCACCGGCUAACUACGUGCCAGCAGCCGCGGUAAU